UGGGUAACCUGCCUCAAAGAGGGGAAUAGCCUCCCGAAAGGGGAGAUUAAUACCGCAUAAUAUGUUUAAGUCGCAUGACUUUAACAUCAAAGGAUUUUUCUUUUAAGAAAUUCCACUUUGAGAUGGACCCGCGGCGCAUUAGCUAGUUGGUGAGGUAACGGCUCACCAAGGCAACGACGGGUAGCUGGUCUGAGAGGAUGGCCAGCCACAUUGGGACUGAGACACGGCCCAGCUCC
rnacentral:rRNA from 1 species